AGUGGCCAAGGGGGGAGUAAUAUAUCGAAACGUGCCCAGUAGUGGGGGAUAGCCCGGUAAAAGCCGGAUUAAUACCGAAUGAGACCUGACGGUGAAAGCGGGGGAUCGCAAGACCUCGCGCUAUUGGAGCGGCCGAUAUCAGAUUAACUAGUUGGUGGGGUAAAGGCCUACCAAGGGAACGAUCUGUAGUUGGUCUGAGAGGACGACCAUCCCCACUGGGACUGAGACACGUCCCAGACUCCUACGGGAGGCAGCAGUGGGGAAUUUUGGACAAUGGGCGCAAGCCUGAUCCAGCAAUGCCGCGUGCAGGAAGAAUGCCUUCGGUUUGUAAACUGCUUUUGUCAGGGAAGAAAUCCUCUGGGUUAAUACCUCGGGGGGAUGACGGUACCUGAAGAAUAAGCACCGGCUAAUUACGUGCCACCAGCCGCGGUAAUACCUAGGGUGCGAGCGUUAAUCGGAAUUACUGGGCGUAAAGCCUGCGCAGGCGGUUUUGCAAGACAGAUGUGACAUCCCAGGGUUCAAUCUGGUAACUGCAUUUGUGACUGCAUUGUUAGAGUACGGUAGAGGGGGAUGGAAUUCCGCGUGUAGCAGUGAAAUGCCUACAUAUGCGGAGGAACACCAAUGGCGAAGGAAAUCCCCUGGACCUGUACUGACGCUCAUGCACGAAAGCGUGGGGAGUAAACAGGAUUAGAUACCCUGGCAGUCGACGCCCUA
rnacentral:rRNA from 1 species